CCGCCGCCGCCGCCGCCGCGCGACGGGGAGACCGGUUUCUGGUGACCAUGAGGAGCUGGCUGGGACCCUGCUCACUCCAGAGUCUGCAGACGGGAUCUUGGGAGAACUGGCCAAAGUCCAUGAAAGGCCGGAAUUCUUGCCGCGGCCAGCUGUCUCACAUCUUCGUGUAGUGCCUGGUCUACGCCAGAGAGAAAACGGUCCUUGCAUUCCGCCUGGUGGCCUAAACAAAACACCACCUUAAAGAGUCGUAGCGUACCUACUGAAUGUCAGAAAAUAUUUGCAAAUCAUAUAUGUGAUAAGGGACUAAUAUCCAAAUAUAUAAAGAACUUCUGCAACCCAAUGGCAAAAAGCAGUGUGAUUGGAAAAUGGGCAGAGGGGCUGAAAAGACAUUUUUCCAAAGAAGACAUCAUCCAGAUGGCCCACAGGUGCUUGAAAAGAUGCUCAACGUCACUCAUCAUCAGGGAUGCAAAUCAAAACCACAGUGAGGUACCACCUUACACCUGUUAGCAUGGCCGUCCUCCAGAAGACAAGCGGUAAGUUGGUGAGGAUGUGGAGGAAAGGGAACCCUCAUGCACUGUUGGUGGGACUGUAGGUUUUUUCAUGUUUCUACACGUAAGUGUUACUUUUUUUUUAAUGUAUUAUUGGGGGGGCCGUAAAUUUGUGCUGCCACUGUGGAAAACAGUAAGGAAGUUCCUCAAAAAAUUGAAAAUAGAGCUACUGUACAAUCCAGCAAUUCCACUUCUGGGUAUUUAUCUGAAGAAAAUGAAAGCACUAAUCCAAAAGGUGUCUGUACCCCCAUGGUCGUCGCAGCGUUAUUUAUAGUGGCCAAGAUGUAGAAGCAACCUAAGUGUCCAUCGAUGGAGAAGUAAAGAAAAUACGAUUCUGUGUGCGUGUGUGUAUAAAAACUGCUCAGCCAUGGAAACGAAAUCUUGCCAUUUGCAACAACACUAAUAGAUGCUGAGAGCAUCGUGCUAAGUGGAAUAAGUCCGACAGAAAAAGAUAAAUACCAUACGAUCUCACAUGUGGAAUCGAACAAUGAAAACCUGAGCUCGUGGAUAUAGGGACCACAUCGGUGGUUGUCUGAGGCCAGGGGUGAGGGUGGGCAAAAUGGGUGAAGGGGGUCAAAAGAUACCAAUUUCCGGUUAUUAGUAAGUCAUGGGAUGCAAUGUGGGGCAUGGUGAUGAUAGCUAAUGAUCCCUGCAUUGUGUAUUGGAAAGUACUUAGGAGAGUGGGUCAGUCCUCUUAAAAAAAGAAUUUUGUCACUCUGGGGUAUUGGAAAUUGACUGGGCUUACUUGUCGUGGUGAUCAUUUUGCAGUAUAUACAAGUAUCGCAUCAGUGUGUCGUUCACCUGAAACUAAUGCCAGGUAUACUUCAGUAGAAGAAACACUUGUGAAAACUGGAGAUGAGAAAUGUCCUGGUUUAGUAUGUAACACAUAGCAAGUGCUCUGUUAGUGUUACCUACUGUUAAAUAGUUACUUUCUACCUGUUGUGGGUGGGGCGCAACGCUAAAUCAAAGGUCAUAAAAAUGGUUUCUGUUGUUAGUGGAUUUAAGAAUAUUAAGAGCAAGGAUUAUUUCAAUUAAAAAUGUAUGUAAAAUAGCUAAUAGCAACUAGUGACAGAACAAAACUUGUAACGUUCAUAAUCGUAACAGAAAUAUACUUUAUCUGGAAUGAAACAAUAAGACGUGGGC